rnacentral:lncRNA from 1 species
UUUCCACUAGUAUAUAUAAGAACGACAAAUUUGACAUUUAAUAUAACAACGGAAUAAGCAACUGACUAGCGGAUGAACGACGAAUUAAUUUGGCAUUCCAAAUAUAACAACCGAAUAAGCAACUGACUAGUUACAUAUGAACAACGGAUUAAGCCACGGACUAAUAUUAUUCAAAUCCUCGAUCUAUUAGUUGGAGGAAAAACGUCUUACCACUUGAGUUGCGCUUCAUCGUUACUAAGCAUUAUAAUUAAAGACAAAUUCCUUAACUACAUGAUAAUACAAGCAGGGGCAACUGCAACUGCUCCAACAAGUGUUACUACGGUACCUCCCAGAACAAUCCCUGCGUUGAGUGCAUCCAAAGUUUCCAGAAUCCUUUCCUGAAUAAUAACAAAUUUUUAAUUUGAAUAAUCAAAAUUCGUCCAUUGUUAAUUAAAAUAAGUAAUUUUUUUUCCUUUUUUUAGUUAGAGAAGAGAAACACUGGAGUUUGAACCUUGAACGUCACUGUUNNNN